UUCCUACGGGGGGCAGCAGUGAGGAAUAUUGGUCAAUGGCCGCAGGGCUGAACCAGCCAAGUCGCGUGAGGGAAGACGGUCCUAUGGAUUGUAAACCUCUUUUGUCAGGGAGUAAAUUGCUCCACGUGUGGCGUUUUGCGUGUAUCUGAAGAAAAAGCAUCGGCUAACUCCGUGCCAGCAGCCGCGGUAAUACGGAGGAUGCGAGCGUUAUCCGGAUUUAUUGGGUUUAAAGGGUGCGCAGGCGGAAUGUCAAGUCUGUGGUAAAAUUUAGGCGCUCAACCUC
rnacentral:rRNA from 1 species